UGGGGAAUUUUGGACAAUGGGCGAAAGCCUGAUCCAGCAAUGCCGCGUGUGUGAAGAAGGCCUUCGGGUUGUAAAGCACUUUUGUCCGGAAAGAAAUCCUUGGCUCUAAUACAGUCGGGGGAUGACGGUACCGGAAGAAUAAGCACCGGCUAACUACGUGCCAGCAGCCGCGGUAAUACGUAGGGUGCAAGCGUUAAUCGGAAUUACUGGGGCGUAAAGCGUGCGCAGGCGGUUUUGCUAAGACCGAUGUGAAAUCCCCGGGCUCAACCUGGGAACUGCAUUGGUGACUGGCAGGCUAGAGUAUGGCAGAGGGGGGUUAGAAUUCCACGUGUAGCAGUGAAAUGCGUAGAGAUGUGGAGGAAUACCGAUGGCGAAGGCAGCCCCCUGGGCCAAUACUGACGCUCAUGCACGAAAGCGUGGGGAGCAAACAGGAUUNGAUACCCUGGUAGUCCACGCCCUAAACGAUGUCAACUAGUUGUUGGGGAUUCAUUUCCUUAGUAACGUAGCUAACGCGUGAAGUUGACCGCCUGGGGGAGUACGGUCGCAAGAUUAAAACUCAAAUGAAUUGAC
rnacentral:rRNA from 1 species